CUUCAUUAACGGCUGCAGUUGCAUCAUUGUUUCCUUUAUUUGUUAUCUCUGUAAAGCCAAUGAUUCAGUAACAGGCUAUAUUUGGGUGUUUUCUUCCUUAUAAAUAUGUGGUCUUUAAUAGUGAUGGAUGAAGUAGGCCGUAUGUAAAGCCUUUUUAUAAAUAUUAGCGUUUAUUUGUGGGUUUUCUAUUGCAACAAAUGAUCCUAUCUCAAGGUCGUGAUUUGCAUCCGGUUUGUGUUGGACAUCGGUUUCUAAAUAGGCAGACAAGGUCCUACCUUCAUACAAAGCUGAAGGCAGCAGCGUCAGAACCUGACGACUACAGGGAGCAGGCUCAGAUCUGGGUCACACUGCCACCAGCACAAACCAGGAACAUACUGGAGCUUUUACACAUCUUCAUCUCCACCAAGGCUCCCAUGGAGGCAUAGAGAAACCUGAAGCCAAGAGGCACAGAGCUGCAUCCGAGCACCUGUCAUUCACACCCCCAUUGGUUCAUGUUCAUGUUCUGUUUUCAACCUCUCUCUCAUAUUCUCUCCUCUCAUCAUGCCUCUCUAUAUCUGCCAUUAGGUGUUACUCUACCAUAUAAUAUGCACAUGUACUGUAUACCUUACUUACCAUUUAGUAGACAGUUUGUGUUGUUCAUACUGCAGAGUUUGUGGGUGUAUCUCAGGCAGCCACUGCAGUGACAAGGGCACUGGAUCAACCUUUGACAAUAACAAAGACAUUUCCAAAUACAAUACAACACAAUAGUGCAACAACAAAAAAGCUAAACGUAUCCAUUAAAACAAUACGCUUGAAUUCUCA